rnacentral:rRNA from 1 species
UUUUGGACAAUGGGCGAAAGCCUGAUCCAGCAAUGCCGCGUGCAGGAAGAAGGCCUUCGGGUUGUAAACUGCUUUUGUACGGCACGAAACGGUCUGCCCUAAUGCGGCGGGCUAAUGACGGUACCGUAAGAAUAAGCACCGGCUAACUACGUGCCAGCAGCCGCGGUAAUACGUAGGGUGCGAGCGUUAAUCGGAAUUACUGGGCGUAAAGCGUGCGCAGGCGGUUAUGUAAGACAGUUGUGAAAUCCCCGGGCUCAACCUGGGAAUUGCAUCUGUGACUGCAUAGCUAGAGUACGGUAGAGGGGGGUAGAAUUCCACGUGUAGCAGUGAAAUGCGUAGAGAUGUGGAGGAAUACCAAUGGCGAAGGCAGCCCCCUGGGAUAAUAUUGACGCUCAUGCACGAAA